GCAAAGCCCAAGAAGCAGACUGGGUGUUAUGUUCUGAAAAAACUACUAAUGCAACCAAGCUUGAUGGGAUGGUUGUUCUGCUUGGUAGAAAUGCUGUAAAAAUCUACACAGAAAACCUGACCGUCUAUGUGGUUCUUGCGGAGGAAUGAAAAGAAACAUGGCAAAUGAGGAACAGAAAAUAUGACACAAAUUGUGAAAGUGGUAUACAGCAGCUCAGCUUUGGGAAACGUGAGUCCUGUCUGCUUAUGGAUGCAUUGAUUCAUGGGUAUUACACUUGUCUCCCAAGUUGCUUGCUGAUGCUUUCAAGGUCAGGUAAUAACAUUCUCCAAGGAACUAAGCGGAGUGGCUGACCUCAUUUCUCCCCUGACCUGCA
rnacentral:lncRNA from 1 species